rnacentral:rRNA from 1 species
UACGAAGGGGGCUAGCGUUACUCGGAUUGACUGGGCGUAAAGGGCGCGUAGGCGGUUUGUACAGUCAGACGUGAAAUUCCUGGGCUCAACCUGGGGGCUGCGUUUGAUACGUGCGGACUUGAGUUCGGAAGAGGGUCGUGGAAUUCCCAGUGUAGAGGUGAAAUUCGUAGAUAUUGGGAAGAACACCGGUGGCGAAGGCGGCGCUCUGGGCCGGUACUGACACUGAGGAGCGAAAGCGUGGGUAGCAAACAGG